AGAGUUUGAUCCUGGCUCAGUGUAUGGCUGGCGGCGUGCCUAACACAUGCAAGUCGAACGGGGAUUUGUUACGGCAGAAUCCUAGGGGCGAACGGGUGAGUAACGCGUAAGCGACCUGCCCUCCGGGCGGGGCCUACACUCCGAAAGGGGUGCUAAUACCGGAUACGAAGUCUGUGCCGCAUGGUACGGAUUUGAAAGAUGGCCUCUAUUUAUAAGCUAUCGCCGGGGGAUGGGCCUGCGUCCGAUUAGCUGGUUGGUGGGGUAACGGCCUACCAAGGCGACAAUCGGUAGCCGGUCUGAGAGGAUGAACGGCCACAUUGGGACUGAGACACGGCCCACACUCCUACGGGAGGGGGCAGUGGGGAAUCUUCCGCAAUGGGCGCAAGCCUGACGGAGCAACGCCCCGUGAGUGAGGAAGUUCUUCGGAACGUAAAGCUCUGUUGUUCCUGACGAACCUCCCCUCUAUCAACAACGGAAGGGACUGACUGUAGGGAACGAGGAAGCCACGGCUAACUACGUGCCAGCAGCCGCGGUAAUACUUAGGUGGCAAGCGUUGUCCGGAAUUAUUGGGCGUAGAGCGCAUGUAGGCGGUAAUUUAAGUCUGUCGUGAAACUGCGGGGCUCAGCCCCGUAUGGCGAUGGAAACUGGGUUACUUGAGUGCAGGAGAGGAAAGGGGAACUCCCAGUGUAGCGGUGAAAUGCGUAGAUAUUGGGAAGAACACCGGUGGCGAAGGCGCCUUUCUGGACUGUGUCUGACGCUGAGAUGCGAAAGCCAGGGUAGCGAACGGGAUUAGAUACCCCGGUAGUCCUGGCCGUAAACGAUGGAUACUAGGUGUGGGAGGUAUCGACUCCUUCCGUGCGGGAGUUAACGCAAUAAUAUUCCCCGCCUGGGGAGUACGGUCCCCAAGACUUAAACUCAAAGGAAUUGACGGGGGCCCGCCCAAGCGGUGGAGUAUGUGGUUUAAUUGGACGCAACGGGAAGACCCUAACCAGGGCUUGACAUCGUCUGAAAGAAGCAGAGAUGUAUCCCUCUCUUGGGAGACAGGAAGCCAGGUGGUCCAUGUCGGUCUUCACCUCCUGUCUUAAGAUGUUGGGUUAAGUCCCGCACGGGGGGCAAAAAAAAAAAAAAAUGUUCCCAUCAUUAAGUUGGGCACUCAUAGGAGACUGCCAGGGACAACAAGGAGGAAGGCGGGGAUGACGUCAAGUCAUCAUGCCCCUUAUGUCCUGGGCUACACACGUACUACAAUGGCCGGCAACAGAGGGAAGAGAAGCCGCGAGGCGGAGCGAACCCCAAAAACUCGGUCCCAGUUCGGAUCCCAGGCUGCAACCCCCCUCCGUGAAGUCGGAAUCGCUAGUAAUCGCAGGUCACCAUACUCCGGUGAAUACGUUCCCGGUCCUGGUACCCCCCCCCCGUCCCCCCUCGAAAGUUGGUAACCCCCGAAUCCGGUGGGGUACCCGUAAGGAGCCAGCAGUCUAAGGCGGGGCCGAUGAUUGGGGUGAAGUCGUAACAAGGUAACC
rnacentral:rRNA from 1 species